CCCGCGUUGACAGCAGCGCAAGAAACACUGUCAUAGAGCAAAAACAUCGAUCUUCAGAUUCAGAACAAAAGCUAAGAACCAAACGAAGUCCUUUUAAAGACGUUUUAUCGUAGAAAUAGAAGGUUUAACCAUCCUUACUGCUUUAUAAUGCAUGCAAGUGGGCAAGCUUUAAGCGGAAACGUAGGCUACUUACAGUGAUGAUCCUAGCAAUGGAUGGGACAGAGCACCUGACAAGCCAAUGUCAAAAGAGACCUGUGUGUAAAGUGUUGGAGUGUAAAUGGCAAGACCCACAACAGUUACAGACAGUUACAGACAAGAAUAAGAACAACGAGCGUGCAAAGUAUGAGACAUGUUUGGACUGUUAAACCCAAUCCAACAGAAACAGAGCUCUGGACAUGUGGACAGACAUCUGCUGAUGCACAGGCCAAAAGCAUAACCCCUUCUGGACAUCGUGCUGGAGCUCAGGGGGGGACCCCACGAUCCCCCACACCUUCUCACUCACACCAUUCAUUCAUAUCGCAGAGAUCUGGCUGGACUCAAACCAGCAACCUCUGAACCAUGAGGCAGUGCUCUUACCACUGAGCCACAGAUCUCUUGUACAAACAUGUGCAAGAAUUUAUAUUUCACAAUUUACAUGUAUGUCACUUGGGAUUUUACAAUAAACCAAUUAAAGUUACAAGCAAACACUGAGCCAGGGUUUGAAACCAUGACUCCAUCGCAACCAUGUCCAUAACUAACAUGUGUUUUGCCACUACACCAUCACGGCUUUCAUGCUGAGUGGUGGCAUUUGUUGGAUAUAAUGACAUCAUAAUCAAUUUAGCCUAUGCAAGAGUGGGAGUUGAACCCAUAAUUUCAUUGCAACCUUGUCCACAACGAACGUGUAUUCAGCCACUGUACCAUUGUGGCUUUCACGCCAAAAAAAUGGCAUUUAGGACACUUUUCUGAAUAUAAUGACAACAACUUAAUGUAUGCAAGAGUCAGAUUUGAACCCAUAUCAUCACAACCUUGUCUGCAAGUUAGUACGUUUAAGCCACUGCGCUAUCAUGGAUUUCACAACAAGAAAUGCCAUUUGAACACUUUGUUAUUUUAAACUCAAUUUUAAUACAUUUAUUAGAAAACAAUGCAUUUGUACUGUAAAACAAGUAAAAGAUAGUCAGAAAAAUUUUUUUUGCAUUAUGGGUGGUUGUCACUCUAUGUUAGACAUACACUGUACCAUAUCUGACUCUAGGUUCAGGGUGAAUAAGACUAGAAUGAGUCGAAGCUGUUGUUGUAUAUUCUAGGAGGUGUCCAUCUGUUGCUUGGCGAGUCGUGAGGCACGGGCCAAGAGUCAUGACCCCAUAUUGAUGGGCGAUGGAAAUGUCUAUGCAACCCAAAGCCAGAGGUGUUGGUGAUGGUCAGUUCAGAUUACAAACCGUGACCUCUGUGUGGUUGACAGCUGACUUUGAGAGGACAAAAGGUCACGGCUGAUGUCUAGCAGAACCACACAAAAAAAGGGACAACAGAUAAAAUUUCAAAGGUUCAACUUACUAUAACCAUAACAUUAAUAACAUACAUAGGCCUUAAUGAACAUAAAUCAUGCUUGAAUUAAUGAAUAUGUGCUCUUCAUUAAAUAGCUCUCUGUAUUUUA